CAUUUCAACUACCUACUAACCCUUACCCUUAUUCUAAACCUUACCCUUACCCUAACCCUAACCCUACUAACCCUUACCCUUAUUCUAAACCUAACCCUACUAACCCUACUAACCCUUACCCUUAUUCUAAACCUUACCCUAACCGUAACCCUAACCCUACUAACCCUUAUUCUAAACCUUACCCUUAUUCUAAACUUUACCCUUACCCUAACCCUAACCCUACUAACCCUUACCCUUAUUCUAAACCUAACCCUACUAACCCUUACCCUUAUUCUAAACCUUACCCUAACCCUAACCCUAACCCUACUAACCCUAACCCUUAUUCUAAACCUUACCCUUAUUCUAAACCUUACCCUUACCCUAACCCUAACCCUACUAACCCUACUAACCCUUACCCUUAUUCUAACCCUAACCCUACUAACCCUUACCCUUAUUCUAAACCUAACCCUACUAACCUUACUAACCCUUACCCUUAUUCUAAACCUUACCCUAACCCUAACCCUAACCCUACUAACCCUUACCCUUAUUCUAAACCUUACCCUAACCCUAACCCUACUCACCCUUACCCUUAUUCUAAACCUUACCCUAACCCUAACCCUACUAACCCUUAUUCUAAACCUAACCCUACUAACCCUUACCCUUAUUCUAAACCUUACCCUAACCCUAACCCUAACCCUACUCACCCUUACCCUUAUUCUAAACCUUACCCUAACCCCUAACCCUAACCCUACUAACCCUUACCCUUAUUCUAAACCUAACCCUACUAACCCUACUAACCCUUACCCUUAUUCUAAACCUUACCCUAACCGUAACCCUAACCCUACUAACCCUUACCCUUAUUCUAAACCUUACCCUAACCCUAACCCUAACCCUACUCACCCUUACCCUUAUUCUAAACCUUACCCUAACCCUAACCCUACUAACCCUUAUUCUAAACCUAACCCUACUAACCCUUACCCUUAUUCUAAACCUUACCCUAACCCUACUAACCCUAACCCUACUAACCCUUACCCUUAUUCUAAACCUUACCCUAACCCUAACCCUACUAACCCUUAUUCUAACCCUAACCCUACUAACCCUAACCCUUAUUCUAAACCUUACCCUUAUUCUAAACCUUACCCUAACCCUAACCCUAACCCUACUAACCCUUACCCUUAUUCUAAACCUUACCCUAACCCUAACCCUAACCCUACUAACCCUUACCCUUAUUCUAAACCUUACCCUAACCCUACUAACCCUACUAACCCUUACCCUUAUUCUAAACCUUACCCUAACCCUAACCCUAACCCUAACCCUACUAACCCUAACCCUUAUUCUAAACCUUACCCUAACCCUAACCCUAACCCUAACCUUAGCGAGCAGUUGCUUAUCAAAAGAUAG
rnacentral:lncRNA from 8 species